rnacentral:rRNA from 1 species
GCUCAGGAUGAACGCUGGCGGCGUGCCUAAUACAUGCAAGUAGAACGCCGAAGACUUUAGCUUGCUAAAGUUGGAAGAGUUGCGAACGGGUGAGUAACGCGUAGGUAACCUGCCUACUAGCGGGGGAUAACUAUUGGAAACGAUAGCUAAUACCGCAUAACAGCAUUUAACCCAUGUUAGAUGCUUGAAAGGAGCAAUUGCUUCACUAGUAGAUGGACCUGCGUUGUAUUAGCUAGUUGGUGAGGUAACGGCUCACCAAGGCGACGAUACAUAGCCGACCUGAGAGGGUGAUCGGCCACACUGGGACUGAGACACGGCCCAGACUCCUACGGGAGGCAGCAGUA